AACGAACGCUGGCGGCAUGCCUAACACAUGCAAGUCGAACGAGACCUUCGGGUCUGGUGGCGCACGGGUGCGUAACGCGUGGGAACCUGCCCUUAGGUUCGGAAUAACGCCCCGGAAGGGGUGCGAAUACCGGAUAAUGUCUUCGGACCAAAGAUUUAUCGCCUUUGGAUGGGCCCGCGUUGGAUUAGCUACUUGGUAGGGUAAAAGCCUACCAAGGCGACGAUCCAUAGCUGGUCUGAGAGGAUGAUCAGCCACACUGGGACUGAGACACGGCCCAGACUCCUACGGGAGGCAGCAGUGGGGAAUAUUGGACAAUGGGCGAAAGCCUGAUCCAGCAAUGCCGCGUGAGUGAUGAAGGCCUUAGGGUUGUAAAGCUCUUUUACCCGGGAUGAUAAUGACAGUACCGGGAGAAUAAGCUCCGGCUAACUCCGUG
rnacentral:rRNA from 1 species